GCUAAUGGUGGAUGAGAGAGAGAGAGAGAGAGAGUGUCAUGAUAAAGGAUAUUGAGCACAGACUUCACCACUGGGUCGACUCUGGGGGCCACGUUCUUCUGCUAGGGAAGUACUGACUGGUUGGUGGCCGUGGCUGUUCACGCACUCGCUCUUGCUGUGGCUGGCAUGCUGUUCUGUCCUCUCUUGUUCCAGGAAUUGCUGUCUGAGGUUGUGUGUGUGUGUGUGUGUGUGUGUGUGUGUGUAGAAGCCAUCAUCAUCAACCACAGCAGGUGAUAAUGAUGGUUCCUGCUUUCAUCAUCAUCGGGGCUAGCCAGACCAACCUGGGGCUGUACUCUGGGGUGACGCUGUAUGCCUCAGGUGGGUCUGGAGACCCCAGACAUGUGAAGCAUUCUCCAUACAUGGAUGGAUAAGGCCCUUGUACAGAGUUAGCAGCUGGGGGGGGUGAGAAAAACUGGCAGAGACGUCUCAGAACACCUAACUUCAUAGAAGCUGUUUUAGCUAGAGAUGAGAUGUGAAGUUUCCAGUUCAGAUUAUAAGUAAAGGACAGACCGAGGAUGUUCAGUGUAGAAGAGGGGGACAGUUGAGUGUCAUUGAAGAAGAGGGGAUAGUUGUCUGGAAGAUUGUGUCGAGUUGAUAGAUGGAGGAAUUGAGUUUUUGAGGCAUUGAACAAUACCAAGUUUGCUCUGCCCCAAUCAGAAAUUUUAGAAAGAUCAGAAGUCAGGCGUUCUGUGGCUUCCCUGCGUGAUAUGUUUACCUCCUGAAGGGUUGGACGUCUAUGAAAAGACGUGGAAAAGUGCAGGGUGGUAUCAUCAGCAUAGGAGUGGAUAGGACAAGAAGUUUGGUUUAGAACGGUCAGAAAGGAAACUUGAGAUGAAGUUACAGAGAGAAGGAUAGAAACCGUAGGAGGGUAGUUUUGAAAUCAAAGCUUUGUGCCAGACUCUAUCAAAGGCUUUUGAUAUGUCCAAGGCAACAGCAAAAGUUUCACCAAGUCUCUAAAAGAGGAUGACCAAGACUCAGUAAGGAAAGCCAGAAGAUCACCAGUAGAGCGGCCUUGACGGAACCCAUACUGGUGAUCAGAUAGAAGGUUGUGAAGUGAUAGAUGUUUAAGAAUCUUCCUGUUGAGGAUAGAUUCAAAAACUUUAGAUAAGCAGGAAAUUAAAGCAAUAGGACGGUAGUUUGAGGGAUUAGAGCGGUCACCCUUUUUAGGAACAGGUUGAAUGUAGGCAAACUUCCAGCAAGAAGGAAAGGUAAAUGUUGACAGACAGAGCUGAAAGAGUGUAGAAGAGGGGGACAGUUGAGUGUCAUUGAAAGAGGGAAUAGUUGUCUUUUUUUUUUUUUUUUUUUAUGUAGGAAGGACACUGGCCAAGGGCAACAAAAAUCUAAUAAAAAAAAAAAGCCCACUAAAAUGCCAGUCCCAUAAAAGGGUCAAAGCAGUGGUCAGAAAUUGGUGGAUAAGUGUCUUGAAACCUCCCUCUUGAAGGAAUUCAAGUCAUAGGAAGGUGGAAAUACAGAAGCAGGCAGGGAGUUCCAGAGUUUACCAGAGAAAGGGAUGAAUGACUGAGAAUACUGGUUAACUCUUGCAUUAGAGAGGUGGACAGAAUAGGGGUACUUCAGAGGUAAAUAUGAUUACAUCGACUUACUGUUUAAGGACUUAAAUAUACUAACUUUCGACCUCUUAAAGAAAUAUUUCAUAGCGCUGACCAUAUAUAAAAAUAUUAAUGGUAAUGAUCCUAAUAACAUAAUAUUUAAUAUAUUCCACCAUAGCCAAGGUACCCGAGGAAAUCAUCUUAAUUAAUCUCAUUUGCCCACAAGCAAGAACUAGUUUGUAUAAAUUUUCCACACACUGUGUUGGUCCCAAAGUAUGGAACAUAUUGCCUGAUAAUACAAAAAAUUGUUGUAAUUUCAAUAUUUUCAAAAAGUAAAAUGAAAAAGUUCCUGUUUAAUAGUCUAAGUCAAAACUGAGAUCUGUAAUAAAGUUUUAGUAUUUUUUUUUAUAUUUGAAUGAUGUAGCUUAUUACAAACAUAACUUAUCUUAAAGAUAUUAGCCCCUAAAAAAUGGUGUAAUAAUAUUGUGCCACCCUGUGAGGAAUUACCAGCCUGGUAUAUAGAAAGAUUAUUAUUAUUAUUAUUAUUAUUAUUAUUAUUAUUAUUAUUAUUAUUAUUAUUAUUAUUAUUAUUACAGUGGAACCUUAGUUACUGAAUGCCUCCCUUUCUGAGCAAAUCGGUUUUCUAACAAUUUUGAAAUGAUUCAUUCAGUUGCUGUACCAUAAUUCAGUUCCUGAACAAAGUUAUUCGAUUUCAUAUAUUAAAAGACAUAGCAAAAGCUACCAUUUAUUAUUAAUUUAUAGUUUAUUUAAAUAUUUUCUUUGUUUUAUAUAUUUGAAGGAGAGACACAGUGGGUAAGACAGUAAUUCAAUCUUUGAAAUAAGGUAAAUGUGAUCCUAUUAAAGAUCCUCAACGUAAACAAACAGGAUUUGACACUCAGGAGUAAGCCACCUGUGGCUCUUGAUGACCUACAAUGCCAUCACUACUUGAACUGCAUUUUCACAGUAACUUUUCAAAGCAGCAAGAUGUCUAAGUGUUAUGAUUACCUUCAUUUUGGUGGUGUGUGUGUUGUUCCUCUGUGUCACUCUGUAAGGCUUCCCUCACUAGAUUGGUGAUAAUGAGAAUACCUGCACGCUCUAAACAAAAUCUUCUGUGUCCUGCGUCACUAAGCUCACCCAAUGCAUCUUUUUUUUGGAUAAAUAAUUUUUGAGUUUUUCCAGCAAAACUGCCCAAGCUGUGCAACUGAUCCUCAUAAAGUGAAGGCAAGAGUACUUUCCCUUUUCUAUCGGAGGCCAAGGGGCUAAAAGAAAGGUGUGAAUGAGUGUGUGUGCGUGAAAGUUCUGUGCCUCAUCAUGACUACCACUUUUUUUUGUGAGGGAGACUGCUUUGGUACAUGUAUGUAUGUAUGAUCAUCAUUAUUAUUAUUAUUAUUAUUAUUAUUAUUAUUAUUAUUAUUAUUAUUAUUAUUAUUAUUAUUAUUAUUGUUAUUAUCAUCAUCAUGCACUUUAACUCUGAUGCUGACUAUGGGCAAGCAAAGAAAAUUCUUAUGGAUAGAUUUGGAAACAAAAGUAUCAUGGCUGAUGCUUACACAAAAAAGUUAAUGAAUUGGCUACCGAUCUCUCAGCAUAACAGUCCAGCAUUAACAGCAAUCUCAGAUUUUUUGAAGUGCUGUCUAGCUGCAAUGAAACACACUUCUCAUUUGUCAUUUCUGAACAACUGUAGAGAGCAGAGAAAGAUGCUAGCAAACUCCCUAAUGAUAUUGUUCAUGAGUGAAGAAAGCAAGUAAAGACAUAUCUUGAUACUAACAGUAACAGCAACACUCCUAGCAGUGAUGAAGACCACCACCCACCCUUUAAAAUGUUAUGUCAAUUUAUCCAGAAGGAAGCAAAAGGGGCAAGCAACCCCUUUGUUUCCUGGGAUUCAGUAAAUACGGAAGGAAAUGAUUGGAUCAAGACUCAAACACAAGCAGCCAAUUGGAAACCAAGGGAAUCAAACACCAUGACAAAAAAUAGAGGGAGUACAACUUUCAUGGCUAAAUCAAUUGAGGAAAAACCAUUGUGCUCAUGCCAAGGUAAAGUAAGUGUCCAAGCCAACAAACAGUAUCUCAAGGAGCAGGAAAGGAAAGGAUAGUUCUGUCACUACUGUACAAAGGAUCAUGAUUUAGAUGAUUGCAAGGAAUUUGCCAAACUUGACAGUAAUACUAUCAGUAAAACAGAUCACCUGAGAGCUAAUGAAGACCUGCCGGUGCAGCUACACAGAUAUUGCACACCUCAUUGCAUAAAUAUCCUACAGUCUGGAAGCAAACGUAGGAUAUUCCUUGAGUAUAUCCCUGAGAGUGGCUGAGUCCAAGAAAUGGUCAGUGAGGCUGUACAAGUGAUGUUGACCUUGCACCAUAAAUGUAGCAAUGACAGAACAUUCCGUGACAUAAUGACGCAGUGUGUGUCGCCUUGGUGCAGCACACAGCACACAGCACACGCCAGGAGAAGCACCGACUUCCCAAAAGUAUUUAUAGCCUAAACUGAGACUCAUUGCCACCCUGUUGUGUGAUGCAGUGUGUCUCUCAUAGGUGGGAGACACGUACAUAGUGAACACUACUGCCACUGUCCCUAUGGCAACAAAGCUGCAACUGAUCACUAAUGCUACUAUAUACAAAGUCCUUAAUGGUACUCUUAACACAGCCCACAGCGUACUCAGCGCCAGGGUCCACCGUGUCAUCCCGAAGGGCACACUGAGCAAGGCAGUCUGCCCCUUCAUUAAGGGGGAUGCCCACGUGAGAGGGUAUCCAGGUGAAGUGUGUGUGUGUGUGUGUGUCCAAAAUUUGUUUUCUUAUCGUAUGACAUAAUUAUAGUUUUAGAUCCUCAUCAGUCACUGCUACACCUUGCAACCAGUAUUUGGAGAACACAGUGAGAAUAAUUGAGGGUGGUUGCAUCACCCUCAAUCACGAUCUACAAAACUCAAACGAUGACCAAAGGGGCAAUGGAUCUGUACAUGAGUGAGGUGGCGAGGGGCGUGGCCAGGGGGCGGCUAGCAGCGUGUGCCACCAGGGAAAUGUGUAUGAACAUAAAAAAAGGCGCCCGUUAAGAAAGGUUCGUUCGGUGCAAGGAGUUGGCACAGGAGGCGUCUGAGGCUGUGCAGAGCGGCCGUCUGAACCUGGUGCCACAGCUGCACAGGAGGGCAUGGCAUAGCUGGCUGGACAACAUCACAGACUGGUGUGUCUCCCAGCAACUCUGGUGGGGCCACAGAAUGCCAGUGUACCACAUCACUGCAGCAGACGGCCGGGAGGUGUGGGUGGCAGCUGCUCGGAGGAAGAUGCAAGGCGGAAGGCUGUGGAGAAGGAAGACUGUGCUGCUGCAUGGCCUCCUGUGUGAUGGUGGCAGCCACAAGACAUCCAAGUCCUGGGGCAAUGUGAUAAACCCCCUGGAUGUGAUCAGUGGGGCGUCCCUGGAGGUACUGUGUGAGAGGAUGGAGGGGAGCCUGAAUACAGAAGAGGUACUCACUGGUAUCAGGAGGAACUUCCCCACAGGCAUCCCAGAGUGUGGAGCUGAUGCCCUUUGGUUCACCCUGUGCUCCACCAACUUCAAUACUGCACACCCCGUCCUGCAGCCUCAAGGCACUCACCUCUCCUUUUCCAGUCAUGGGUGCCUUGCCUCCUCCUUGCAACACCACCACCACCACCACUGCUGCCACCACCUACGAGGGGGAGAGACUGUGAUGUGGCUGCGGGUGGCUAGGUUCGGAGGCCUCCAGAGAGCUGCCCAGAGUGAAGCUUGUGGUAUAGAGGGACAGCUGCUGAUCAUCAAGCUUACAUAGUGACUGGAGGAAAGUGGGAGGAGCCUGGAGGGAGUGAUGGAGGUACAGUACUUGGAGAAAAUCCCUUCACCAUGACAACUGGGUGUCUGCUGUACAGGCCACUGACCAAUGGAGAAACCUUGAGAACCCAUCUAUGUGGCCUCUGAAAAUGGUCAUGGUGAGAGAGCAGAGCAUUUCAGAAUACAAGCCAUGAUUUCACACCUGCAGCACUGCCCACCACAUACUCCAGCAGCAGCAGCAGCAGCAGCAGCAGCAGCAGCAGCAGACAGCUAAAUGCUGCACCACCCAUCAAGAGGAUGAAGACUGCAGCCACAUCAGAGAGGCUGGCUGUGAUUUUUAGUCUUCCUGCCACAUGUUGAGGUUCCUGCUGAUAGCCAUUUGGUCCUCAGCUUGUUCAUCAGGCCUGACUCGCACAUCUUCUGCAGACUGUGGGAAGAAUAAGGAUUUGUAGAGAAAGAAAGUCUGGUACGGAAGAUUGAAAAGAAAUAUUGUCAUUGUGGAAAAAGCUGAAGUGUAUUAUGCUUUUAUGUUGUGUAAUAAUGUAGUAGUAAAAUGCAGGCUGUAUGGAAUGAAGGCACAUCAGGAUUUUAUAAGAUUAAAUUUUACAGGGAAGAUUAAAAAGGAAUAUUGCAUCAUUGCAUGUCCCUUGCACCUUCACCUCUGACUCCCAUCCUUUGCAGUUCCAUCCUUCCAUCCACUUUCUACUUUCUCCUCAAUCUUAAUUCACACACACACGCACACGUGCACACACACCUGUGGUCAAAUAUCUUCCUGAAGGGUGAAUUUUUUUUGCCGCCCAAUAGCAAUGCCUCCUGUGAUGUACUGGACUGGCAGUUCCUUGCUUCUGGAGGAGUCUGCAAUAAGAAGACCACGAAUGUAGUCGCUGGUUGUGACAUUCACACCUAUGAACACAUACUUACCUGCCAAGUGUUUUUUUUUUUUUUUUUUUCAUUUGUUUAACUUAAUUUUUUUCUUUUUUCAUGUAAGAGGAGGACUGGCCAAGGACAACAAAAAGAGCAAAAAGGAAAAAGACCCACUGACCUGCCAGUCCCAAAAGAAAGGUCAAAAAGAUCAUAAAAAAUUGGAAGAUAAGUUUUAUGAAACCCCCCUCUUGAAAGAAUCCGAGUCAUAGGAAGGAGGAAAUACAGAAGCAAGUAGGGAGUGUGGGAUUAGCUAACAGUGAGAUACUGAUGGUGGUUAUGCUAAAUUGGGAAAUGUGUGUAGCUUUAUCUAAAUGAAGAAGGAAUCUGGCUAAUUUAUCUUACCUGAUGGAAGAAUCUUAGUGUUUUCAUUUAUCAGAGGUAAGAUAUGAAGCAAAUGUUUAUAUGAUAAUUCCAAGUUUGCAUCUUUAUCAAUUAUAAGGAGAACUAACU